AGGGUGGGCCCACCCACAGUGAGGGUUUUGUAGCAUCAAAAGAUUUUGGAAAAGACAAGGAAGGUUGACUCCAUUAAGCCAACUGCAAAAAGCAGGGGAUAGUACAAAAGUGGGGAUCUUGGCCUGAACCGUCUCUCUUUCCCACAUAUCCAGAGGCAAAUUCAAAUUGUUUCCUGGUUGAAGAACUAUUGACGGCUCACCUCUGUAGACUGUCAUAAUCUGUCUCUGUCCACUCAGAGAACCUUUCUCUGUUAGACGCUGUUAGACAUCUCCCACUCUACAUAAUCCUCUUAGCGAAGCUAUCACAAGCUUAUCGAUCCACCUCUGGUCUUCCUCGGUUGAGCAGAACUGACAUUCGUAUCGCGCUUCUCUGUAUCUGGAUUACAGAAGCUUUACGAACCCAGACUUUCUUCUUCCCCCUAUCACUACCCUGGGCUUAAUAAAACCUGAUGCCAAAAUGACAGUUGGCUGCAGCAGUGGUAUCAGUUUCAUUGGCUUCACUAGCUUGAUUCAUGCUUUCAUCUCUUCUUUUUUAUAGACUUGUAUUCUGAAGGUUAAUAUCCACUUUAAAUGCGAAGGCUGUGAGCAGAAAGUAAAGAAACUGCUGCAGAAAAUCGAUGAUGGCGUUUCUAAACAUUUAAUCGAUGGAACUUGCUAUGAGGUGUACAACAAUCAGAGUACGUGAUGAGAAUUGAGUGCUAAAUCAAUCAGAGUACAUGAUGAGAAUUGAGUGCUAAAUUCAUGCAAUGGAAGUUUAGUGAAUAAGAAGCCUUCUUAUUAUUAGAGGAGCUUAGCUAUGGUGAAGUUUUGAGCAGCAACGGCUAUGGCUAAGUGAAGAUGCGAUUGGAUAGACAUCCACUAGCCACUGCUCUCAACUUAUCAGGUUCACUUUUCUCUCUACCUUCCAAUGCAGUUGUGUAUGAGAGUUUUAAAGGCAUGGGGGACACAAGCUGUAGUGCGGCUAUUUUUUACUGGUAUAUAACACUGAUAUGAUUUUACUGUCAUGAUGUGUGGGAUAUAUAUAAGGCUAUAAUGUAAUGUGCUAAGCCACAAUGCAGUUUCAUGAAUGCGUGGAUGUGGCUAUGUGCUUCUAAUUUUGAUGUGGGUCUAGGCAAUUAAUCUGGUUGGGGCUAUGUGGGUUUGAUUCAGUGUUUGGCAAUGCUUUGUUGGUGAUACAGAAUUUGGCAAUUUGCUGUGUCAUAAGGGUGCAUUUGAUUAAAUGCUGUUUUGCUCACUUGGGAGGGCAAUGUUUCCAAUUAUUAUUAUCCUACAUUAAACCUU